ACCAUCUGUAAAUUGAUUUCAGAUGUUGCGAAUUCAGAGUGGACUAUUGUAACGUGUAUGCCUUGUCGUAUAAAUUUCAACAGCAUAUUUUAAAAUACCUUUUAGCUGAAUAUCUUCGGUGAUAUGUCUGAAUAUGAAAGGAACUGCCGAAAAAAGUCUCAUUGUUUCUUUGAUACAUUGUUCCAGAAAUGUCAACUGGUUCAAAUGAUGGUUUUCUACCUUUCUCGAAUAAUUUCCUAAAACGGUCUCUAUCAUGUCGGUGCGUAAUUUCAUCAAGAACGGUCGUUGCCACACGCCAUGCGCCAACUCUAAACAAGUUUUGAGAUAGAAACAUGACCAGCUGAUUUGUUUAUUAUUUGCAACGGUUCGUGUUUCAAACUCGCAUGUACUUAGAAGUAUUUAAUGGAAAAAAAUCUAAACUCGUUGAACAUGCUCGCGGUGUCAUCUUAAAGAAGAAAAUAUACGUACAUAUAAAUAAACCGACUGAGACAUCGUCAAAGACAUCAAUAAUAAAUCAUAAGACAUUGAAAUUCGCACUUCGAUACGAAGCCGACGACGAUGUGAUAAAAUCUGAGAGAGGUAACGUGCGAUAUAGGUACACUAUGUGAUUACGUAAUUGUAAAAUUACCUGGUAAUGUUGAUUUACUGCCAACAUUAAUAAUGUAAAACACACGGUUAUGGCAGUUGUUUCGCUUCCCUAAAUUAAUGUGUACAAUUUUCUUUAUUUUAAUCUCUAUAAAAGAAUACCUAUUAAUGUUAAGUAUUUUCCUAAUACAUACCGCCAUGAUAACUGUGACAAUUUCAUCAGCUAGUUGAUCAUCGGAGAAAUGAUUUUUCGAUUCAGAACUACCCAAUAAAAUGUCAAUGAACGUUUGGGCUCGUUUUCCGGCUGUAAAAAAAAAGAAGAUCAAAAAUGAAAAUAACUGGCUUGUGCAUUAACCAAAUCCUCGCAGGGCUGUCGUGCUUGAAGAUUCUUCGUCCUUUUCGUAGAACAUCUGCCAAAGAUUCUCAAAAUUACGAUGAGGUUACCUGAUGCUGUGAUCAAUCCUUCCCCUAGAAAAUCUUUAAUGAAUCCGUAGCCAUAUUCUUUAUCUGAAGUUUUUCUGCAUACGAUCUGUAGUUAUAGUUGAACGUGAUGUUCGUGUUUAUUGUUCUUAAGACUCACCUGCGUAGUCAAUUACACAUCCUGGUUGAGGCCAAACCCCACCAUUGGGGAAGAAAUCA